rnacentral:rRNA from 1 species
GCUUAACACAUGCAAGUCGAGGGGCAGCAUGGUCUUAGCUUGCUAAGGCCGAUGGCGACCGGCGCACGGGUGAGUAACACGUAUCCAACCUGCCGUCUACUCUUGGACAGCCUUCUGAAAGGAAGAUUAAUACAAGAUGGCAUCAUGAGUCCGCAUGUUCACAUGAUUAAAGGUAUUCCGGUAGACGAUGGGGAUGCGUUCCAUUAGAUAGUAGGCGGGGUAACGGCCCACCUAGUCUUCGAUGGAUAGGGGUUCUGAGAGGAAGGUCCCCCACAUUGGAACUGAGACACGGUCCAAACUCCUACGGGAGGCAGCAGUGAGGAAUAUUGGUCAAUGGGCGAGAGCCUGAACCAGCCAAGUAGCGUGAAGGAUGACUGCCCUAUGGGCUGUAAACUUCUUUUAUAAAGGAAUAAAGUCGGGUAUGGAUACCCGUUUGCAUGUACUUUAUGAAUAAGGAUCGGCUAACUCCGUGCCAGCAGCCGCGGUAAUACGGAGGAUCCGAGCGUUAUCCGGAUUUAUUGGGUUUAAAGGGAGCGUAGAUGGAUGUUUAAGUCAGUUGUGAAAGUUUGCGGCUCAACCGUAAAAUUGCAGUUGAUACUGGAUAUCUUGAGUGCAGUUGAGGCAGGCGGAAUUCGUGGUGUAGCGGUGAAAUGCUUAGAUAUCACGAAGAACUCCGAUUGCGAAGGCAGCCUGCUAAGCUGCAACUGACAUUGAGGCUCGAAAGUGUGGGUAUCAAACAGGAUUAGAUACCCUGGUAGUCCACACGGUAAACGAUGAGUACUCGCUGUUUGCGAUAUACAGCAAGCGGCCAAGCGAAAGCGUUAAGUAUUCCACCUGGGGAGUACGCCGGCAACGGUGAAACUCAAAGGAAUUGACGGGGGCCCGCACAAGCGGAGGAACAUGUGGUUUAAUUCGAUGAUACGCGAGGAACCUUACCCGGGCUUAAAUUGCAGAUGAAUUACGGUGAAAGCCGUAAGCCGCAAGGCAUCUGUGAAGGUGCUGCAUGGUUGUCGUCAGCUCGUGCCGUGAGGUGUCGGCUUAAGUGCCAUAACGAGCGCAACCCUUGUUGUCAGUUACUAACAGGUUCCGCUGAGGACUCUGACAAGACUGCCAUCGUAAGAUGUGAGGAAGGUGGGGAUGACGUCAAAUCAGCACGGCCCUUACGUCCGGGGCUACACACGUGUUACAAUGGGGGGUACAGAGGGCCGCUACCACGCGAGUGGAUGCCAAUCCCAAAAACCUCUCUCAGUUCGGACUGGAGUCUGCAACCCGACUCCACGAAGCUGGAUUCGCUAGUAAUCGCGCAUCAGCCACGGCGCGGUGAAUACGUUCCCGGGCCUUGUACACACCGCCCGUCAAGCCAUGGGAGCCGGGGGUACCUGAAGUGCGUAACCGCGAGGAGCGCCCUAGGGUAAAACUGGUGACUGGGGCUAAGU